rnacentral:rRNA from 1 species
AGAGCGAACGCUGGCGGCAGGCUUAACACAUGCAAGUCGAGCGCCCCGCAAGGGGAGCGGCAGACGGGAGAGUAACACGUGGGAACGUACCCUUCGGUUCGGAACAACCCAGGGAAACUUGGGCUAAUACCGGAUACGUCCGUAAGGAGAAAGAUUUAUCGCCGAAAGAUCGGCCCGCGUCUGAUUAGCUAGUUGGUGAGGUAACGGCUCACCAAGGCGACGAUCAGUAGCUGGUCUGAGAGGAUGAUCAGCCUCACUGGGACUGAGACACGGCCCAGACUCCUACGGGAGGCAGCAGUGGGGAAUAUUGGACAAUGGGCGCAAGCCUGAUCCAGCCAUGCCGCGUGGGUGAUGAAGGCCCUAGGGUUGUAAAGCUCUUUCGGCGGGGACGAUGAUGACGGUACCCGCAGAAGAAGCCCCGGCUAACUUCGUGCCAGCAGCCGC